GACAGUUAUUAUUGCCAUGACAAUGGUGAC
rnacentral:piRNA from 1 species